AAGUGGCUCUGGGGGCUGGUUGAGGAGCCCGAAGCCGGCCGAGCUGUAGGGCAUGUGGGGUUUACUGAGAUCUGGGUGCAUGGGGGAUGUAGGAUGGGCAUGGGCAGAGGAACUGGGGACUGAAGAGCUGCAGGGACCUGGUGGGGAGGGUACAGGGAAGGAGAUGGGAAGAGAGUAUAAACGUGUGGCAUGAGGGAAGGGAGGGAUCCAACCAGGCCUCUGGAGCCUCGGAGCGACACUGACUGCAGCAGCAUUUAUAGGUCCUGAUGACAUCUUUAUAUUGAUUUCUCUCUUCCUGUGAAGAAAGAAGCAUCCAUGGGGAAUAUACACCUAGGAGUCUGUUUCAGUGGUUUUCCCUUAACAGGAGAAGCUACUUUGUUUCUGUUAAGGAAAUAGCAAAAUCUCAGUUGCUUCAUGCUCUAAUUUUUUGAACACUGCCUUGAUGAGCUGUGAAUGUGCCUUAGGUUCACCAGAGAAUUUUUUAAAGACUUGCAAAGUCCAGUCCUGGCAGUGGAUACUGAACAACUCCAGUGCUGCUGUUAAUGUUGAUGAAAUUGUAUUGAGCAACACCAAAGCAUCCUGAGGGUGUAUGUGGUACAUGACUCUGUAGAAAUCACAAAUUAGUAUGUAAGUCCAAAGGUUGCUUUAAUAAAGUUGGUGCUCCCUGAAAAAA